GUGGAACAUGAAGCUGUGGUGGCCUCACUGUGAAGCUCUCAUCGCCUACCUGAUGACCUACAGUCACACUAAGAGACCAGAGCUGCUGGAGAGAUUCUCUCAGGUGUAUGAGUACACCUUCAGUCACGUGAGUUAUUACUGAGGGAAACGUACCCGAGGAAAAAUCUCAUGCUACACCUCUGAAGUGUUUAAUGUUAACAAAUGACCGUCACGAUGACUUGUAACUUAUGAAGCCUCACUUAAGAAGCACUGAAAUAUUCCUUUAAUGUUCAUAUUGUAGAAACAUUGGGUAGAAUAGAAAAGAAAAGAAGUUGUAGAGAAGAAAAAAGAUGUUAAAAUAGACGAAAAAGAGAUGCCAAAAAUAGAAUAGCAGAGACUAGUAAUGGGAGUGUGCUAAAUAACCGUGCAAGAUUAACGAAGACAGGGCCCAUAUCUACUUAACGGUAAGACAAUGUGUAAAUUAGUGACUAAUGUGAACGUCUAGCUCAAAAAGGAUAGUCGAAUUCGGGGCGUGGAAAGAAAAAGUGAGGAGUAAAACCCGGAGCCCAGGGUAAUUGGCAAAUAAAUGAUGAAAAGAGAUAAAGAGUAAAAGAGACAAAGUGAAAAAGAGAAAAAGGCUGAGAUGGCCGAAAAAGAGAAAAAGUUAACUUAAUGUUA